rnacentral:rRNA from 1 species
GACGAACGCUGGCGGCGUGCCUAAUACAUGCAAGUUGAGCGCUGAAGGUUGGUACUUGUACCAACUGGAUGAGCAGCGAACGGGUGAGUAACGCGUGGGGAAUCUGCCUUUGAGCGGGGGACAACAUUUGGAAACGAAUGCUAAUACCGCAUAAAAACUUUAAACACAAGUUUUAAGUUUGAAAGAUGCAAUUGCAUCACUAAAAGAUGAUCCCGCGUUGUAUUAGCUAGUUGGUGAGGUAAAGGCUCACCAAGGCGAUGAUACAUAGCCGACCUGAGAGGGUGAUCGGCCACAUUGAGACUGAGACACGGCCCAAACUCAUACGGGAGGCAGCAGUAGGGAAUCUUCGGCAAGAGACGAAAGUCUGACCGAGCAACGCCGCGUGAGUGAAGAAGGUUGUCGGAUCGUAAAACUCUGUUGGUAGAGAAGAACGUUGGUGAGAGUGGAAAGCUCAUCAAGUGACGGUAACUACCCAGAAAGGGACGGCUAACUACGUG